UGUACAUUUGGCAUUUGAACAAUGUGGCCAGCCAACAGAGUUGCAUUCUCUCUGAUCGAGUUGGCAGUUGAGUUUGAGAAAGGACGUCAGUGUCUGGUAUCAGAAUCUUCCUAAGACAAUUCACAUGGAAGCAGUUCAGUUUCCUGGCAUAGCUGUCCAGGUUUCCCAAGAAUACAGCUAGGAGGUCAGCCCAAGGGCUCUGUAGACCUUCAGUUUGAUAGGCAGUCUAAUGCUUCCCUUCUCCCACACUCCUUCUCUCCCUAGGAGCCUCCCAAACACUGAGCUAGCUGUGGCAAUAUGUGUGUCCACCUCAUUAUCAAUGUGCACAUCCCUGUAUGUACGUACAAUGUGUACAGUACAUAAAGUAUACUGCCAAGCAUUGUCGCUGUAGCUGCACAGAGAUGAAGUGACCUGAUGAAGAUAUGAAAGCACAAUAUAACUGCAGUACUUUGAGAGUCAUCCAAGUUCAGUGGCAAGACAGAAAUCAGGAAGACUGGUGAUGGCCCAACAUCUUCAAAGUCUGACCAAGAUCUAAAGGCUACUCAGCACCUGAUUCAUCCACUUCCAUAGUCAUCAGAAGAAAUUGUUCCCAUUUUGCUGUGGGAGAAUUCAAAAAUUUAAACACUGAUAGAAACAAGGAAAGAGAGGUCAGCUGAUGUCUUGGCAGGACAGUGGAGAGAGGACAAUUGAAAGCUCAGAGGCUGACUCACCCUGAAACGUCAUUGAGAAGAAUUGCAAAUUCACUGAAGCAUCUAUUGAAACAGAAGAACUGACCACAGUGCAAAUGGUGGAAAAACUUUCAAGACCUGGUCCUUUUACUCAGGUCGUAGAAUCUCUUCCUCCUGAAUGUUCUCCAGCUUCUGCACUGGGUCUGUGAUCUCACUAUAUCUAAACAGUAUCAGCAAUAUCAUGCUGCAUCCUGCUCAUCUUCCUGCCAUAAUUCAUUAGGCUAACCCUAUAUGAACCCGUGAAGAGCUGAGAUGGCUUUGACUCAAGGAGAAUACUACCUGCUUCAGGGCUUGCUGGAGGAAGAAUUUUCACAUGCUGUGUUGGGGACUUAGGUUGAAGCUGAACUCUUUCAAGAAAGCAGCAGUGGGAACAGGUCAGAGAGUCCUGGAAAUUUAUAACAAACCAUGUGGCCCGAUAGUUCAUAAAAAGAUGCGGUGAAUGAAGAAAACUCAUCAAAUGUAACAAAAAAAAAUCAUUGGGUGAAGACAAAUACAAGACAAAGGAUGAAACUUGACUUUCCUAACUUUUCUGUGUCUGUACUUCUCGUCCUGAAGAUGUCUGGAGACCCUUCCUCUAAUUGACCAGUUCCUGCCUGAUACCAUCUUUUAUACAAAUUCCCAGGCCCUCUAUUCUCACCUCUCUCCUGGAUUCACUUUUGACUUUAGAAUUUUCUACUUUACUUUGAGUGAAUACACUCCCCCCCUCCAUUUUUCCAAUUCCCUUUUAAGCAUCAUCUUUCUUAAUUAGAAUAUAAAAUUUGGGAGUACAGCUUUUGGCUUACAUUUGUGUUUCCAGUGCUUAUCAUAGUGCCUGGCAUGUAGUAGGUGUUUAACAAAUGCUCUAUUUGAAUUAAUAAAUAAA